GAUCCGAUAGUUCAGUGGGAGAACACUACCUUGACAGGGUAGGGGUCGGGGGUUCGAAUCCCUCUCGGAUCAUCA
rnacentral:tRNA from 3 species